rnacentral:snRNA from 1 species
GGAUGUGAGGGCUAUCUGGCUGCGACAUCUGUCACCCCACUGAUCGCCAGGGUUGAUUCAGCUGAUUUGGCUGGCUAGGCGGGUGUCUCCUUCCUCCCUCACCGCUCCAUGUGAGUUCCUCCUGAAGCUGCACGCUCGGUCGAAAGGACGACCUUCCCCGAAUAGAGACGGACCAGUCUUCCGUCAAAGGUAUACGAGUAGCUGUGCUCCCCUGCUAGAACCUCCAAACAAGCUCUCAAGAAACUUACUGAAUAGUCCUGUAUAUACUUUAUCAAAUUUUUUAUUUAUAAAAAGGAAACACUU